ACAGACAGCCUUCUAACCCAUCCCACUCUCUCCCUGAGACGGCAGCGUAGAUAUCCUGGGAUUCUCCCCGGCAGAUGCAAUCGAUCCCAGACUCCUGCUUGGUUUACUCGGGCGCAACGGCAGCCGGCCAGCAUCAGUGGGAGCUCAGGUAAACUCUCCAUGAGACCACUUUACUUUCAUUCCCCUCCACUUAUAGCUGAUGAGUAACUUGUUCCCUGACCACAUGAUAACCACUGCCACCCUUCCCCCCCACACCCCCAACCCAAAAUAAACAUUUAGUGCACCAACCUGACCCUCCUCCGGUUCCAGGGGGUGGACCAGCCUGUGCACAGUUUUCUGCCAUGAACUGAAUCAGAACCCUCAAAUAUCCAGCCAUGUCAGAUGUUCCCCACACCAUUCAAUCCUCCUAGCCUCUCAGGAUGGAGCCAGCAUCUCAUCUUUCACCACUGUCAGUUAUUUCCUCUUCAGACAAGUUCGCUUUUCAUAUCCACAACCUGGCUGCCCCAAAGGUCAAAUUAGAAUAUUCAUGGGGCCGGCUUUUAAAAAAAAGCACUUGGUGAAGGACGAUAAAGCUAGAUGAGUUCACCGCUGUUCUGCUCUGAACUUCCCCGCAGCCUCGUGCAGUCAUCGUUCUGCUCAUGCCCAGGCUGCUCUCUGUAGUUGAUGGUGGAACCAUGUGCCUGUGGAGAUUAUUCAGUCCAAGAAAAAAAGUCACAUUGUUUAUAAAUCCUGACAGAAGAUACUAAAUCCCUAAAUCCUCACAGAAGAUACUAAUUUGGAUGGCAGAAGCCUUGAGGAGCCUGAACUCUUGGGAUGGUGGGAAUCUUCUCCUCUACUUCCACUUUUAGACUUGCGGACAGGCCCAGACUAAUUGGACAUGAAGGUGUUCUAUUUUGAGCAUAGCUGCAGCCUGGCCUGGACCACCCUGUUGAACUCUGGCCAUCUCCUUAAAUGAGACACAAGCUCCUGCUGCCUGGAGUAUGACACGUCCUGGCUUUUCUGAUUGUUCCUCUUUUUUUUUGUCUGCUGCUUCAGAUGUUCCUCAAGUGCGUGCUGUGGAGGCGUCUCAUUAUCUCUGAGGCUUUGAGAAGAGGACCUGUAGCUUGGUCUUUUUUGAUGAGUGCUAUAGAAGUGGUGGUGUGCUAUAUACCAUGUUCUCCACCUCACAAACCCCUGCUUACUGUGGUCUCUCUAGACCAGACAUUGAUCUUAUUUCUGUGCUCACGGCUUUGAGCAGUAAAUCUAAUGGCUGCUUUAGAGGUCUGAGCAUGUCUUAAAGUCCAAAUGCAAAUGUAAUUGUUAAUAAAACCUUUAGAAUACAUUCAGAAUGUUUUCAGAAUGGAUUUCAUUAUUAGCAUUAGUGCUGUUUAUAAUGAUUUCAGCAUUUUAAGUGCUUCAGUCAAAUGCACUCUGGCACCUUUUCUGCUCUAGCAGAACAGUUGAACUCGAUGCUCAAGUCAGUCAGACCAGGUCUCACGCCUACCCAAUAAACACUGUUCUUCAGGGCUCGGCAAUGGCUUGCCUUCCCACACAGCUCCCAGUGUGCUGUCUAGAUUGGUACCUGCUGUAAAUAAAGAGCACAUCCGCUCUAACCUCUGGGCCAUUUUUAUCCGCUCAAACCACCAUCAUUAGGGAUGCUGUGCCAGCUCAGCGGCAAAGACACAGAAGUGAAGACCCUGCACUUAUACAAGUGUUGACCCCGAGCAUGACGCACAGCACCAGGGAGCGAGCCACAGCCGGACGGGUUGCGCCCCACACAGCAACCCCAGUCCUGCAGCCCAAACUGAAGAUUUGAGAGCUGUAUGUGUAGCUGAAUGUGAAGAACACAGGCCAGCUGGUCCAGCUGCAUUGUGUCGGGCCUGCCUGCUGGUCGAUCGUGUUCUUCCCAGAGCCUGCGUGGGGGAGGCAGACGGAGCGGUGGGAGCCGAGUCCCCAUUACUGCUAGAGGGAGGGCACCUAAAGCGCAUCAGAGCAGCGCACUCCCAACACCCUUGCGCACCCCUGCAGACCUGUCCACAAAGACCAGAAAGAGCCCAACAACAGACACGUCCUCAUCCUCUGACUUUUUCCAUUUUCUGUUGUUCAUGUCUCUUUUCUGACCCCCUGGCCAUGCUUUUCAUUGUGGUUCUUUGAACACAAGAACUCUGUUUUGCUCAACUGAUCAAAUAUAUUCUAUCUGUCAUUCUGAAACACAUCUGUAAACUGUAUAUUUAUAUAUAGACCUUUAUGGCAUGGAGUGAACCAAGGCCACAAGCAUUAAAUUCUCUCUGGGGAAAGAUUUCAAGAUUAUGUUGGUGGUUGUGAUACACUAGUCUGACACAAAUAGUAUCUCAGAAGGACUGUAAGUGCUGAAACUGUGUGUAUGUGGUAAGGUUCAUAUUUCUGUGAUGCAUUAGCUAUAGAUAAGAUGUUAUAAAUGGAAAUAUCUGUAAAAGUAGUCUGCUGGUGUUUGCGUGUGUUUGUGUUUGUGUGUGCAAGUGUGUAUGCGUGUGUGCGCUAGUGUAACCGCAGAUUGUCUCUGUAUUGAUUCAACUUGUUCAUUCUGGUUCUGAUUUCUGGUGCUCAGUGGCUUCUGUACUCUUUAGUACAGUGACAGUAAUACAAAAAAGAACUCUUUGGA